rnacentral:misc_RNA from 1 species
AAGUCGUAACAAGGUUUCCGUAGGUGAACCUGCGGAAGGAUCAUUAACACUUUGUUAACCAAUAUCAACCCACUGUGAACUAGCGUCCCUAUUCACUGCAGUGCUGGCAGGCCUCGGCUUGAUAACACUGCAGUGCGAUAGACAAUACCCUCGCUUAGUAGUUGUCAGCAACUGCUUCACCGGCUUGCUCCCGGUGCAAGCAGCUGCUGAUGAUGAACGGUAUUCACCAAUUUUCACCCUAUAACUAUCAACCUGUCUAAUCUUCAUGAACUUAUGCGGCUGCCUCGGCGGUCAAAUAAGCUUUACGAAAUAUUGAACAACUCUUAGCAAUGGAUAUCUUGGGUCAU